rnacentral:rRNA from 1 species
GAUCCUGGCUCAGGAUGAACGCUAGCUACAGGCUUAACACAUGCAAGUCGAGGGGCAGCAUGAACUUAGCUUGCUAAGUUUGAUGGCGACCGGCGCACGGGUGAGUAACACGUAUCCAACCUGCCGGUGACUCGGGGAUAGCCUUUCGAAAGAAAGAUUAAUACCCGAUGGCAUAGUUCUUCCGCAUGGUGGAACUAUUAAAGAAUUUCGGUCAUCGAUGGGGAUGCGUUCCAUUAGGUUGUUGGCGGGG